AGAAUGAACGUUGGCGGCGUGGAUUAGGCAUGCAAGUCGAACGGACCAGCAAUGGUUAGUGGCGAAAGGGAGAGGAAUACGUAGGUAUCUACCUCCGGGUCGGGGAUAGCCACGGGAAACUGUGGGUAAUACCCGAUAAUGUCUCCGGACCAAAGGUGUGACUCCACCUGGAGAGGAGCCUGCGUCCUAUUAGCUUGUUGGCGGGUAAUGGCCCACAAGGCUACGAUGGGUACGGGUGUGAGAGCAUCGCCCCCGCUUUUUUCACUGGGACUGAGACACUCGCCCAGACACCGUACGGGUGGCGUGCAGUCGAGAAUCUUCCGCAAGUGGGCGCAAGCCUGACGGAGCGACGCCGCGUGUGGAG
rnacentral:rRNA from 1 species